CUCGAUUUGACCAAUCAGUUUCGUAUCUAAAACCUCGUCGACUAUCCCUUUCGAUAAGCAGAACAACGCCCAUUCCGCGAGGUUCACUUCCUCGUGCGGAAGAUCGUGCGCGAGAGCAGGUCUCGCGCACAGAACCUCGAGGAGUACGACUCCGAACGCGUACACAUCCGAUUUCUCCGUGAAGAUGUGCGUCUGCAGAUACUCCGGGUCGAGGUAACCGAACGUCCCUUUGAUGUUCAUGCUGAUAUUGACCGGAUCUUGUUCGCGGACCGCGAGUUUCGAGAGCCCGAAAUCCGCAACUUUGGCCACGUUGUUCUCGUCUAGUAGUAUGUUUGUUGAUUUGACGUCUCUGUGGAUGAUUCCUUCCGAGCCGCUGUGGAGAUAAUGCAAUCCUCUGGCUGCUCCAAUGCAUAUCUCUAGCCUCUGUUUCCACGUCAACGAAGGCAUAUCCGAGCCGUAGAGAUGCUCUUUAAGCGUACCUUUCUCCAUAUACUCGUAGACAAGGAUCAUCUCCGCGUUUUCGUCGCAGUAGCCUUUUAAAGAAACGAGGUGUUUGUGCCGGAUUCUUGACAAGACUUGGAUCUCCGUUUGAAACUCUUGUAUCCCUUGUCCUGAACCGGUCUUUGCUCUCUUGAUAGCUGCCCUGCUUCCAUCCGGAAGAAUGGCUUUGUAGACGUCUCCAAAACCGCCUUUCCCGAUCAACCACUGGGGGUCGAAGUUGUUUGUAGCUCUCCGAAUGUCUGCGAAUGCAAUCUUCAAGCCUAAGUUUAGGUUGCGUAGUGGCGAGUUAUGGACCGGAUCGAAAGGUCUAUUGGUGCGUAAUGGCGAAUUAUAGACCGGAUCGAAUAGUCUAUUGUCGGAGCUCCCACCUCUGUACAGUUCCACAGGAGACCAUAUAGUGGCCUCCUCCUCUGGCUUCUUCUUCUUCUUCGAUCUCCUCCGUUUCAAGAAAAAAAUGGUAAACAACAAACUCAAAACCAGGAUAGAAACAGCAGCAACACAACCAAUAAUGAUGUGAACCAGGGAACUACUUUUAUGAUGACGCUGUGGACGGCGAGCUUAAGGUCGCGGAGGUUGAGAGGUGCAUUGAGGCUGUCACGGAAGGACCCGCCGCGGAGGAUAUGAGGAGGAGAGCGACAGAGCUGAAGAAUGCAGCGAGAUCGGCGUUGGAGCCUGGUGGUUCGUCGGCUCGGAAUGUGGACUUGUUCAUCGCCCAUAUCACAACCACCUGACUAUGCUUCUGCUUUGAUUUACUCUUUUUUAAACCGGCGAUAACCGGUUUUUUGUUUCAGCAUUUGAACCCAAUGUUCAUUAAAAUGAGUAAUUGAAUUUUAAUAAAAGUAUUAUAUUUUUUAAGUUUUUCCAAUUAGUUUGUCUCAAACAAAAUUCAGCUCAUGAUUUUACAAAAGUUGAACCAAGCGGUUACUAAAAUAAGUAACUGGAAUAUUAAAAUAUAUUAUGAAGUUUUUCCAAUAAUAAAAGAAGUUGGAGAAGGUGACUUUAAUCAAAUGGUCUAAUGUUCACUUUUGCGAACUUCUUCAUCCAGUUCGAUUCGACAAAACAAGUUUUCUACAUUGUAAGAUCGACCUUUAUCAAUCUAAUUGGUGAAAAAAAAUAGUGACAAUAGCUAAUUCUGUUAAACAGUUCAUAUUAUUUUUGUUAAAUAGAGUUCAUGAAAUAUAAUAACUAAAAUCAUUACAUUUGUGAAAGAAAAAAAAGACUCCAAUCAUUACACAAAAAAAGUUUUGAAAAAUAUUUCAUUACUUUUUAAAUCUAUUAGUAUAAUUUUUUAUCAACUUUUAAAUCUAUAAAAUUCCAAACGGACCAAUUGGAUAUGAUGAUUUCCAUACCGGUUAACCAGUAUGGACACGGUAAGUUUGGGAAACCCGGUUAACGCAAAGCCUUUUUUUAUCUUGCUUCAGAGAUCUUCAACUGGGAGAAAACCCGAGUCUCGGAUGAAUCUCCAUCGCUGCUCUUCUUCUGAACAAACGAGUUGUCGCUAAACGAAUCACUCACCAUCAACCUCGGAACCACCAACGAGUUUCCACCUCCAACGCCAGAGAUCGUCAUGGUGCUAUCCUCGUGAGGCUCUCUCUGAACCGGCGUCAUGUGAAGCUGCAGAACAUACUCAAGAUCCCAGAUCACGUCCCCCAUGCUCGGCCUCUCUUCGCCGCAGUCCCUUAAACACUUCUCAACAAUCUCCAUGAACUUCCUCAAAGAACUCGCCUCGAUUUGACCAAUCAGUUUCGUAUCUAAAACCUCGUCGACUAUCCCUUUCGAUAAGCAGAACAACGCCCAUUCCGCGAGGUUCACUUCCUCGUGCGGAAGAUCGUGCGCGAGAGCAGGUCUCGCGCACAGAACCUCGAGGAGUACGACUCCGAACGCGUACACAUCCGAUUUCUCCGUGAAGAUGUGCGUCUGCAGAUACUCCGGGUCGAGGUAACCGAACGUCCCUUUGAUGUUCAUGCUGAUAUUGACCGGAUCUUGUUCGCGGACCGCGAGUUUCGAGAGCCCGAAAUCCGCAACUUUGGCCACGUUGUUCUCGUCUAGUAGUAUGUUUGUUG
rnacentral:lncRNA from 1 species